ACUCAUACUUUGCAGGGGAAAUACCAUGGUCAUGAAAGGGGUUUUCCCAGGGUGAGGCUCAUCCAUUGCACUUCAGGUGUGCUGAUCCCUGUGAUUUCCCCAAAUGUGGGGAACUCAACUGCAUAAUUUGUGGUAGUGGGGGAUUGCAUUUUUGCUUUCCCUGG
ensembl:snRNA U1 U1 spliceosomal RNA